UUUGUCGUUUGUCUGUUCCGCGGCUUUUCGUCUGUGUAGUCAAAAAGUAUUUACUGAGUGCCACCGUGAUCUCGACAGAUAGCCACGGCCCCUGCCGUUAUGGAGGUUACCGAGUGGCGGAGGAGGCCGACAUCAGUCAAUUCAGUUACCAGAGCUGUGUCCCAAAAGUUAGAGGAGGAAGUAUGCAAGAGUUGUGACAGACAUCGAUUGGGAGGUUUGAAGGCCCCCGUAACCUCCAACACCACCUCCCCAUUCUCUGAUAUGGAGAAUUUUAAUUUUCUCAGUCCUCUGUCAGGUGCUAUGAUAAACACAAGCGAUUCCCUCCCAAUCAGACAGAAGCUCUAGAUAAAAUCUGAAGCUACUCCAGGGUGCACGGUUGUCAUUUCUGUAUCCUCCCAAUCUAGUCCUUUCUAAUCAGAUUAAUGUAUCAAAAUUCUCAACAUAAGCCUUGCUUUCAAGGACUUCAAUACCUGCUUCAGCCCUGGCAAAAUAAGCAAUACUUGAGUCAGGUUCCCUGGCAGGCUCCCCCAAAACCUCACUCGUCCUGUCCCUGGGCACAGGUGGAGGCCUUUAGUCCUCUACAGCAGUCAUCCCCAUCUUCUAAGACCUUGGGCCACAGGUGCUCUCAAGGCAAGGAUGCCUUUCUCUCAGACCUCAGAAUUUUGUCCCUGGCUGUUGUCCUCUUGUGGAAGGCUGUCCCUUUUCCCCCAGCCUAUUAUAAAUCUUGGCUCAAGUCUCACCUCCUCCCUGAGCCUUCCUAGAUUAUUCCAACCCGAGUUGCUCUUUCUUUUGAGCACAACUGUGAACCUCAUUAUGAACCCCACAAUAUGAAGCGCAUAAUGCUUCUCUCAUUGUGUUGUGCAUGGUGCUUUUUCCUUUCUAACAAAAUUGUAAAGUCAGGGUGCUGUGUCUGUACUUUUCUGUCUCCCCGAAUGCACGUAGCAGGUACUAAUUGACAGAAUCUCCCUCUCUCAUGAUAUUUUUUUCUCCAUAUCCUCUUCUCUUAAUGAAAUGUCCCUUUUGUAUAUACAAACCUUAAGCUUUUCCAUAAGUAUUGACCAUAAUUACUGUGAAGCUAUUUUCAACGGUAUGGGAUAGAAUCUUUUACACAACAUAGCUUAGGACUUCAGAAUGUCAUAAUACAAAUCUGAAUUCCUAACAACGCCUGUGCGCAAACUGUCUAGCUCUCUUUUCAGUAACCAAGCAGGCUAUUUGUGCUUCAAAAUGAAAACAGGCAAAGUAUUCUUUUAUAAUCCAUCAAACAAACAAAAAAGAUGAGUGUUUAGAACAUGAAUUUUAACAGCAGUGUCUGAGGCAAGGGAUGUGAAAUGGAGAGAUUUCACAAAGAGAGAAAUCAGUACCAUGGGUUUUACCUGUUUCCGUCCAAACCAGGCAAAACACUUGAAAAGAAAUGGACCCACAAACCACAGGCAGCUAAUCUCUGCUGAAGAAUUCCAAUUGUGUAUCAAAGAGCCCACCUGUGACAAAAUCGAAUCUAGAUGAGUGUAUUUUGGUUUUGGUUUUUCAAUGCUCAUUAAAAAAAUCUAAAUCAUGUUUCCUAUGAUACUUGGAUUAAUCACCUGGGUGUUAAUUGCCCUCAGAGCAAACUAAUGAAUUUGGCUAUUAGAAAGAAAGAAAAAUUUACAAUGAAGAGUAAAGGAAAGGAAAAUCUCAUCAGCAUAUGAAGUGGUGCCCGGAUGACUUAGCCAUCCCAUUGCCACCAAGCUCCCCAAGGACAAUGUUAGAAUGUGAUUUUAAAAAGAAAAUCAAACAAAAAAACCUGGGAAAGAUUUCCAUUUGUCCUUACAGAGUUGAAGAUAAAAAUUGCCAGUCAACUGUAAAAUUGUAACAUCAAUCUUCCGAGUCUUCAGGCUGCUCUUCUCUGUUUUCUCCCAAGGAUUGUCAGUUUGGGGGUGUGAAUGGCAACAAAACUGGUCACAAUAUACCUGGAGUACGCCAAAAUGGCGGGAAAAGUAUUCCCCAUCCCACAUGUGCUUAGGUGUGAAUUUAACACUCUUCUUCUCAAGAAAUGGGGUUGAUGUUCCCUAUUCUUAAUCUGGGCAUGCUUGUGACUGGAGCAAAAGUGAUUUUUCCAGUCUAGGUGAUAAAAGGUGAUGCAGCAUGUGCUUAAUUUUCUUGCGUGCUUACUCUUGGAACCCAACCAGCAAGCCGUGCAGAAGCCUGAGUUUGUGUAGGUGUUUUGGCUGUCAGUUCAAGCUGAGGUCUCAGCCGAAAGGCAUCAUCAGCCACCAGAUGCGAGAGUGAACGAACCUGUGGAAGAUUGCAGCCCCCAACUGUCAAGUCACUAACAGCCUUCCAGACUUCCAAAUUGGAGCCCCAGAAAUUGUGGAGCAGAGACAUCCUCACUAGGCUUUUUCUGAAUUCCUGACCUACAGAAUUUGGGGGCAUAAUAAAAAGGUGGUUAUUUCAUA